AUCAACUUUACACCUGUAUAUAAUAUAAGAGACAAAAGGCAAUAAACAUUUAAAAUAAAAAGUAAUUAUCUUAUAAAAAAAAUAAUAGAUUCACUUAUUCAACAAAAUACCCAACUAACUAGGCAAUAAAUAGUUGCUUAAAUAAUCUAAAUACCACAAAACCAAACUAGAAAUGGCUUCCAAGUAAGUCUCUUCAGCAGCCCAUAGGUCAUUCCUUGCUUGCCAUAGGAAGCUGGCGUAUUUGCUCAAAGCCUCGGCAUCUUUGGGCUCCACAUAAACUGCCCUCUUGAAGUAAUCCUCGGCAUAGAUUAACUUUUAUUUUGGCAUAGAUUUGUCUUUGUUCUAGUGUAGCAUGAAAAAUGGUAGUCUAGAGGCCAAAACUAGAAAACAAUAACUGAUCAUCCCCUAAAGGUGAUUGAGGGUAAAGAAUUUAUGUGGUUCAAAUGAAUAUUGCCUAUAAACUUCUUUGGUAUUAAUGACAUCAUGAUGCCAUUUAAGUCUAGUAUAGAGGAAUGAAACAAGUCCAAGUGAAAGAAUAAAAAUACUAACCAAUAGGAUGGUAACAGGCAAAUUUUCCUGAGAAGCAUAUCUGACAGCCACAGGCAACAUAAAGAAAUCAGGAAUUUAUACAUAUGCGAGUUAACUGUAACACUUGAGAGAAAUUUAAUUUCCCAAGGGCCAAGAUUAUGAGGAGACAGAACACAAAAUGAGUCAACAUCUCUUGUACCCAUAGUAUUUCAGAUGAUCCCUCAAAAUUUAUUAAAUCACCAAUGAAAUAUCAACAUAAAGUUGAUUAAUUUGAUUUUCAUUCAAUAUGAGAAUAUAUGUAAUAAGAAUGAUUAGGAAAACUCAUAGAAGGUCCAUUCCCUGCCUGUUCCGUGGACCCAUAACAAUACAUGCAAAAUAAAUAAAAAUUGUCCGAAUAGAAGAGCAAAAUUAUUAUUUGCAGGAUAUAAAUUAAUUGUUGUUUAGGUAAAAACUUUCAUUUUUUUUCUACAUGUCAAAUAAGCAUAUGUUUGCAAAAACUAUUAAUUGGUAUCGCAUUAAAAAUGAAUUACGGUGAAUUCCAACCCCCUAUCCAAACAAAUUACAAAUUUACCACUAAAGGGAUUUCUCAAUUAAAGGUCCAUAAAAAUAGCUAAAAGAACUCUAAAAUAGAUAAUUUAGGGGGAGGUAUGUUGGUCCUAUUGGAGCUUAUAUACAAUUCUACGUUUGGAAAUUAUAAGAAAACAAAAGAAAGGAAGCAAGACUAUAUGAAUAAGAUCCUGACUAUGUGAAUAAGAUCCUGAAUGAAAACCACACUAGGGGGUUAUCGAAGUAAGAUCUUGCACUUGACUAAAGGAAACUUCAAGCCACAGUCUGAUGCUCUCGCUAAGAAGACUUGCAGUGCGACUAUUACGGCAUUGAUACCACCCUGUUACAAGCACUAUGUCUACAACACACUGGAAAACCUAUUUGUGGUAUGUUCUCACAUUAUGCAAUACCACACUGACCGCAACGACCCCGCCCAAACCAAACCUAUAUCAAGUAUUGUUUCUAGAGUACCACUGG
rnacentral:lncRNA from 1 species